UACGUAGGGGGCUAGCGUUGUCCGGAAUCAUUGGGCGUAAAGAGCGUGUAGGCGGCCCGGUAAGUCCGCUGUGAAAGUCGGGGGCUCAACCCUCGAAUGCCGGUGGAUACUGUCGGGCUAGAGUGCGGAAGAGGCGAGUGGAAUUCCUGGUGUAGCGGUGGAAUGCGCAGAUAUCAGGAGGAACACCAAUAGCGAAGGCAGCUCGCUGGGACGUUACUGACACUGAGGCGCGAAAGCGUGGGGAGCAAACAGG
rnacentral:rRNA from 1 species